rnacentral:misc_RNA from 1 species
CGAAAUGCGAUAAGUAUGUGAAUUGCAGAAUUCAGUGAAUCAUCGAAUCUUUGAACGCACAUUGCGCCCGCCAGCACUCUGGCGGGCAUGCCUGUUCGAGCGUCAUUUCAACCCUCAGAACCCCUUGCGGGAUCUGGCGUUGGGGAUUGGCAUCCAGCCAGCCCCGAAAUCUAGUGGCGGUCCCUCCGCGACCUCCCCUGUGCAGUAGCGAUACCUCGCAGCGGGACAGCGGUCUGACCACGCCGUAAAACCCCCAACUUCUCAAGGUUGACCUCGAAUCAGGUAGGAAUACCCGCUGAACUUAAGC